AUUGAACGCUGGCGGCAUGCCUAACACAUGCAAGUCGAACGGCAGCACGGUCUAGUUUACUAGAUGGGUGGCGAGUGGCGGACGGGUGAGUAAUGCGCAGGAAUAUGCCUUAAAGUGGGGGACAACUUGGGGAAACUCAAGCUAAUACCGCGUAAUCUCUUAGGAGAAAAGCUGGGGACCUUCGGGCCUGGCGCUUUAAGAUUAGCCUGCGUCCGAUUAGCUAGUUGGUAGGGUAAAGGCCUACCAAGGCGACGAUCGGUAGCUGGUCUGAGAGGAUGACCAGCCACACUGGAACUGAGACACGGUCCAGACUCCUACGGGAGGCAGCAGUGGGGAAUAUUGGACAAUGGGGGCAACCCUGAUCCAGCAAUGCCGCGUGUGUGAAGAAGGCCUGAGGGUUGUAAAGCACUUUCAGUGGGGAGGAGGGUUGAUAGGUUAAGAGCUAAUUAAUUGGACGUUACCCACAGAAGAAGCACCGGCUAACUCCGUGCCAGCAGCCGCCGUAA
rnacentral:rRNA from 1 species